UUUAAUAGGAUAGGAAAAUGGCAGUCCGAGGUGUGAGAUCCCUUCGCCUGGGGGAGAGACAGGACGCGUAUCUUCUGCCUCUGUCACCAAACAACUGAAGCACGCUCCAGUGAGGGCGUGGGGAUGGCAAUGAGACCUUAAGGGAGGUGGUGUGCAUGCUCAUCGCAUUCAUUUUCAAUAAUAUCCACUCUGCACAUCGCCCAGCCUGCCCCGAUCCCCGUUGCUGCUGUGCUAAGCGCGUGCCCCGCAGCUCGGCCAGGAGGAUGCGGUGGGAAGGUCCCCGCAGGGGCUGCCGCGAGAGGGGCUCUCCUGACUGAGCCCCAGCACCCGUGUAGACGCAUGCCGUGUGGCUUCUGUGUUUGUCCCAGCUCUCUAACGGCUGAAGUGACAGACAGACGUGUCAGCGCCUCCGCCGGGAGCCGCGUUCUCGCAGCCGCAGCCUGUCGGCACCGAGCGGGAGCUCUGCUCCCCGGGGAGCGAACGGCGCGCUGGGGUGUGCAGCGGGUGGCACUCUGCCUGCUGAAACGUGCGGUGCCCACAUCUGUCACCUGCUCUUGGUACGUCCGAGCUGGUGUCCGUCACCCUGCAGUUUGGUGCCAGUUCGGUGCUGGUAAAGCUGCAGCAGCCCGGCGCUCACAUUGCGUGCUGCGUGCUGCACCGCGAGGGUCUCGGGAGCGGUCCUGUCUCUUAAGCAAGGGGGUUUCAGGAUACAUGAGAGCAGACACUCACUUAGAAAUCAUUUGCAUUGUCAGUUUGGACAGAUCUCAUCCCCAGAAUGAGCAACAAAACAGGAAAAGCAGAAUGUCCCAUUGGCAUCUGGGAGCUUUGUGCCACGUUCUGGGUUUCAUCUUAGCUAGCUCCUCUUGGGCUGUAGCAGCGCCUGGCUGUGUGUCGUUUCAGCUCCUCUCAUGCAGAACUUAUUUCCAGGGCCGUGGUGAGGGCCCUGACACCCCAGCACAGACGCUGGGGCUGGCCCCAAGCUGCACAGACUGCCCCAGCCCUGCAGCCCUGCCCUCGGGUGCAGCCCGGUGGCCUCCUCCAGCCCCAACCACCGCAGGUGCAUCAGCAGGAGCGAGGGCAGGUGUGUGCCACGAGCAUAAAGCAACACCCAAGCUGCUGAGCUGCAGCUGUGACAGACCCAUUAAAAGUGCUGCCACAGGGUACUGCUCUCCCUGGAGGACGUGUGCCAUGAGCUGAGUGAGGCUGGGGGCAAAGCCGUGCUCCCUGUGCGAGCCUGAGCCCAGGGCAGGGGAAGGGACCUGCGGGAGCAGCACAGGGAAGAGCCGUGCGGGAGCUGGAAUUGUUUCAAAGCCCUGCAGUUUCUCUAGCAAAAUGCACUGUGCUUUGAGGUGGCUUUGAGGCGCUGGGGGAAGCUGAGGCCCGUUUGCAGUCGAGCCCUCAAAAUGCAGUUGGGCAUCAGUGGCAUGGGGCUGGGACCAGAGCGUGCAGGAAGGCAGGUGGGGAGCCGCGGUCCUGCCUGCACUGGGAAGCACCAAAGCCUGGGGCCAUGAUCCCUGGCGAGCUGACUGCUUGCUCUCACCCUGAAAAUUGCCUGUCUCUGGGCCCACCUUCCCCUCUUAAAUCUUGUUGCGGUUUUGCUGCUGGGCAGAGACCUCUCUUGGACGGGGUGGGCUGUGCUGUGGGAACUGGGCUCUUUACGGUGCUCUGUCCCAGCUUUGUCCCAGCCUUCUGCCUCUCAGAAACCUCGCUGUUUAACGUCCGCCUCGAGCACACAGUGCUGUUAGCCACGUGUCCGAGCAGUCACUUCACCUUGAAAUAGGGAAGAACCUUUUGGUGCUGUCACUCCAUGCUGUGGCGGGUGGAAACACCAGCUCAGCUCUCCCACCUUCACCGGGCUGUCUCAGCUCUGGCUCCCUGCUCGCCUGUGUGUCCCCGGCGUCCCCCUUUGGUGGCACCAAGGCAAGUGGUUACCAGCGGCCUCGCUCACCCCAUGCCUCGGCCCCGUGUUUGUGGUCCUUGUUUUGGGUGUCCUGUCAUUGCUCACCAUGUGUGAUGACGGGAACAACAUCCCAUCCAGCGGAGGUCUGACUGCAGCGACCUCCAGGUACUGGGCUGGGGACCCCCAGGGGCUGGGGCAGGACCCCUGGCAGAGCUGAUCCCCCCCCAGCACUGUGCAAGCCUCAGUGCUAAUUGCUCGCUCGGCUCUUUUGGCGUCUCUGAGCGCUGGGAUGUGACUGCUGCAUAUGAAAUGUCGCACUUGUUAUAACAGUUAUUUAACGUUUCUCCGUCCUGUGACUAACGCUUCUGCCGUUUUUGUCUAGGAACAGGAGAUAGCAUUGCUCCUUUUUGUUGUUGUUGUUCAUCCUAAUGUAUCAGGGAAAGAUGUUUUGAUGGUUUUUCUACUGUUUGUUUGUGUCCUUUAUCAGCGCUCUACAAUUCUGAGUUACUGAUUUAAAUUCAGAGUUAUGAAUAUCUCCUUUCUUCUUUUUGUUGGGCAUGUUUUUAUUUUUACGGCUGUUUACAUAUUAACCAGGCAGCUUUUAAACUGGUGCAAACCCACAUCUCCGUUAUGAAUUUGGGGGUAAAACGCUCAUUCU